GUUAAGAGGGGAGCUACAAAAGUGGCUGAGAAAAAGGUGUGUGCCUUUGACCCAUAACCUGAUUUGGAUAAUGCCAACGUAGGGAUGCCGAGUAUA
rnacentral:ncRNA from 1 species